CUUUUCCCCUAUUCUGUCAUGGUAUAGAAGACUUGUAUGAUAUUGAAAAUCACCAAACUGUAAAAAGACGAUGUUUAUUUUGACCCUUGCUGCACCAGGACUUCAGAUUUUGCUAAUAUUUAUAUACCAGCCUUUUAAAAAACAAUCGAAGGACUUUGUUAUUGUUUUACUUUUCCUCUAGAAGUUACCAUUUGCGGUCUGUCUUCAGGACUACCAUUUCCCACUUGCUCCGGCUGUCUACAGCAAGUGUAAAGGCUUGCCUCCCACCCUUUACUGCUCAUAUAGAACAAUGCAAGAACUGCUUACUUAGCACUGUCAACAGAAUUCGAGAAAAAAAAAAAAAACAUGAUUGCUCUCCUUGAUUCAUAGGACAUGUCUGAACAAAAUAUAUGGUCAUUUUCAUCUCUGACUGGAACUUGAAUUGGCUUCAGCAAGAACCAGCUCACACCUAAGUCAUCAGCAAGACUCUUGCAGAUUUCUUCUGGAGAGACAGAAAUAUCUGCAGCCAGGAGGACGGCUGUUGGAGGAAUUCAGGAGCAUUCAACGGAGUCUCCUGGAGUCGGGGAGUGGUCAGUUUUACACAUCCUCCUCAGGACCUCACAGGCAAGAACAGCAGGAUCUGCUUCCUUCAUGAAACCUUGGCUCUGUUCUAUCCAUCGACAGUCCUUCAGGAUACCUAACCUGUCCAGAAAUCAAGGUGGGCGGGGNNNNNNNNNNNNNNNNNNNNNNNNNGGGGGGGGGGGGCAGCAUCACUUACCAUUCUCCCAUCAAUCCAUGACAGAAUUUGCUUUGGAUAC
ensembl:antisense Gm9828 predicted gene 9828